GGGUUGAUGAUGACACCUUCAUUGGGCUGAAGAGAGGCGAUGACUUAAAAAUCACGCUCAAUAGGAUUAGGCUGAGGCCC
ensembl:snoRNA SNORD115 Small nucleolar RNA SNORD115